rnacentral:lncRNA from 1 species
GGAUUUGAAGUGGGUUUUUAAAAAUCUAAACAUGAACUCGACAUCCUAAUUCGUCAUCUAAACCGGAAUUCAACCUCAACGGAUUUUGAAAAUUCAUAUUCAAUAUUGAACUCGACCAAAAACCCGAAACCAAAACUCGAACCUGAAAAUUGAAACCGAAAAAAAUUAUGUCUUUUUAUCAUAUUUCAAAGCAUAUUAUAUUAAAAUCUAAAAUUUUAAAAUAUAAAUUUAAAUAUAACAAAUAUUUAUAUAUAUAUUAUGUAAUGUAAAAUUUAUUUAGGUUCGGAUUGGGUUCGGGUUCAGAACGGGUAUAAACAAAAUUCAUACCUGAAUCCAAAUUCAUCGAAUUUUUAUUUUUUAUACCUAUAUCUAUGAAACUAUAUCCAGUUAAUAUUGAAUAAACCUGCCUCAUUCGGAUUCAGAUUCGAGUUAAAUUUCAGGCAUCCGUACGUACCCAUUGACAUCCCUUGUUCAGCUAGAGCUCUUCAAACAAGCACUACUAACUAUUUUAAAAUUGCACCAAUAACAUUCAACUUGUAUAAAAAUACAGUAUUCC